ACGGACUCAUCAUUCCAGCCAAUCAGCAGCAGACCCUCCCUCCCAGACCGUCCCACCUCCUGGACAGCAUCCAUUUUGAAGCUGCAUUCUUAGUAAGCUGUCCAGGAGUUGGGAGUGUCUGGGAGGGAGGGUCUGCUGCUGAUUGGCUGGAAUGAUGAGUCCG